AUGAAACUCCAUAACUUCUUUGCUCCCGCUUUGGCCCAAAGCUUGGCCUCAUCUUUAAUCAGGCGUAAAAGGAUAGGUGGCGAAGCGUUUUUUUGUCAGAAUGUGCAGGCAUUACGCUCGUUCCAAAUCGUCCAACACACAAGCAUGGUGAGGAAAGCCAUAGCUUUCCGGUUAGGUAUGUUAUCGCCUGAAGAGUUGAUCCACCAAUCCUUGACGGAAUCUUAUAGGUGCUACAAAGAGGUGUCAAUGUGUCCAAGUUGUAGCCAAGCCUUGACAAUGUUCCAGAGGCGAAGGGUGAAAGGGCAUUUAUAG
rnacentral:rRNA from 1 species